AGGUAUCCCACUUACUAUUACUUACUAUAGCCCACUAUAACAGACAGGCACACAUACAUACAUACAUACAUACAUACAGACAGACAGGCACACACACACAUACAGACACACAGACAGGCACACAUACAGACACACAUACAAGACACAUACAUACAAACAUACAAACAGACAGGCACACAUAUAUACAGACACCCACAGAGACAUGCAUACAGACACACACGUACAAAGACACACACAUAAGACAUACAUACAAAGACACAUACACACAUACAGAC